AUGGCCUGGACUCCUCUCCUGCUUAGCCUCCUCACUCUCUGCCAAGGUGCUUGGGCAGAGUUGCUAACUCAGCCAGCAUCAGUGUCAGGGACUCUGGGUCAGUCAGUCACAGUCUCUUGUACUCCUGUAAGCAAUGUCAACAUUGGUAGCAACUAUGUGCACUGGUACCAACAGCACCAGGGUCAGGCCCCCAAGCUCAUCGUCUAUUCCUAUAGUAACCACCCCUCAGAGAUCCCAGAGAGAUUUUUUGGCUCCAAAGAUACCUCAACUAACUCUGCCUCUCUGACUAUCUCUGGUCUCCAGGCUGAGGAUGAAGCUGAUUACUACUGUCAAUCUGGUUACUCUAGAAGUGGCUACAGCACAUGCACAAUGGCCAAGGCUUAUGAGGAAGUGGGACAAAAACCUCUGAGCUGCACUGGUCUGGUCCCUCACUGA